UAACGGCGAGUGAAGCGGUAACAGCUCAAAUUUGAAAUCUGGCCUCACGGUCCGAGUUGUAAUUUGUAGAGGAUGCUUCGAGCAUGGUCUGGCCUAAGUUCCUUGGAACAGGACGUCAUAGAGGGUGAGAAUCCCGUAUGCGGCCAGGUGCCUACGCUCAUGUGAAGCUCCUUCGACGAGUCGAGUUGUUUGGGAAUGCAGCUCAAAAUGGGUGGUAAAUUUCAUCUAAAGCUAAAUAUUGGCCAGAGACCGAUAGCGCACAAGUAGAGUGAUCGAAAGAUGAAAAGCACUUUGGAAAGAGAGUUAAACAGUACGUGAAAUUGUUGAAAGGGAAGCGCUUGCAACCAGACUUGCGCGCGGCCGAUCAUCCGGUGUUCUCACCGGUGCACUCGGCCGUGCUCAGGCCAGCAUCGGUUUUGGCGGCUGGAUAAAGGCCCUAGGAAUGUAGCUCCUCUCGGGGAGUGUUAUAGCCUAGGGUGCAAUGCAGCCUGCUGGGACCGAGGACCGCGCUUCGGCUAGGAUGCUGGCGUAAUGGUUGUAAGCGGCCCGUCUUGAAACACGGACCAAGGAGUCUAACAUCUAUGCGAGUGUUUGGGUGUCAAACCCAUACGCGUAAUGAAAGUGAACGGAGGUGAGAACCCUUAAGGGUGCAUCAUCGACCGGUCCUGAAGUUUACGGAAGGAUCUGAGUAAGAGCAUAGCUGUUGGGACCCGAAAGAUGGUGAACUAUGCCUGAAUAGGGUGAAGCCAGAGGAAACUCUGGUGGAGGCUCGCAGCGGUUCUGACGUGCAAAUCGAUCGUCAAAUU
rnacentral:rRNA from 1 species